GGUUUUUCGUGAUUUAAGUAAAAUCGGACCUGCCCAUUGAUUUAAAGGCUGCAGUAAUUUGACUGUACAAAGGUAGCAUAAUCAUUAGCUUUUUAAUUGAAGGCUGGAAUGAAAGGUUUGACAAGGCUAAACUGUCUCUAAUAUAUAUAAUGAAUUUUUUUUUGUGUGAAAAGGCAUAAAUGGAUUAAUGGGACGAGAAGACCCUAUUAAACUUAGUUUUUAUUACUAUUGAAAAAUGUUAAGAUUUGCUGGGGUGGUAAGUAACAUAUAUUUUAUGUGGUAAUUUUUUAAAUUAAGAUCCAAUAGAUUGAAAUAAAGAAAUAGUUACUAUAGGGAUAACAGCGUAAUUUUUUUUGAGAGUUCAUAUUGACAAUAGAGAUUGCGACCUCGAUGUUGGAUUAAGAAUACUAUAUAAUGAAGUAGUUUUAUAACUAGAUUUGUUCAAUCUUUAAAUUCUU
rnacentral:rRNA from 1 species